GGGAAUGUGGCUUAGUGGUAGAGUGUUUGCCUAGCAUGCAAGAAGCCCUGGGUUCAGUUCCUCAGUACCA
rnacentral:tRNA from 1 species